AUUAACAUCCCGCUCCCGGUGGCGCAGGGGAGCCGGCCAAAGUUCCUCGCAAAGUGGCGAGCGAAGGAGCGCUGAGCACUGACGUCUGGGCUGGGGAGGAGCGGGUCCGAGCGAGGACGGAGAGGGGACAGAGGGAAAGGGAGGCGGGUGUCUUCCUCAGGAAUUUGAGCUGGGGAUCUGCAUCCUGGCCAUUGCAGUCCUUUAGCAUCCUCGCCGCGCCCUGAGCGCGCUGGAGGCUCGCAGGCUGCGCCCUCCCAGGGCUGAUGCCGCGUCCUGCUCCGCCGUUCUGGGACGUCGGGGACAAAAGUGGAGGAGACGGGAGAGCCCGGGCAGAAAAAGCAGGACGCGCGUCCCAGGUGCCCACCUCUUCGCUUUGAGGCGGGGGCGGUGGGAUGGAAUAUGGGUGCGCGAGGUCGGGGCUGGUAACUCUCGGAGGGGCACGGCCUCCACGCUGGGAGGGAUGAAUGGACGCUGGGCCCCGGCAAAUGAGGCGCUGUGGGUCCCCAGGAAGUGGGGUACCAGGCUCUACUCCCACCCCGGCCUCUGAAACGCUUCUCUCUCGGCCGCUAGCCUAGAGGCUGCCAGGGUUGGGCACUGUUCUCACUCACACGCUCACCUCUCUCGGGCAGUCCUCGAGAUAUGUGAAUGGUGGAAUGAAUGCUCUCACUGGGGCUGUGUCAGGAUGCGUUUUUAAAUUUUCUCAAAUUAAAUGCCAACCCCUCAUUCCCCACCCCAAGUAGUUGGUUCGUUUGUUUUUAGAGUAACUACCAAAGCAACAGCAAUGUUAACCGUCCUUGAUUAGCUGGUUAUUUGGUGUAGGGUUUUUCUCAUCCUCCUUUAUUCUUCCUGUUAAAAAGGAGGGCUUGAACAAAUCCUUCCUAACUCUGUCUCUGCCAUAUGAAAAGGGUGGGGGGAGAAGAGAAGGAAGGUGGGGAGAAAGGACAAAAAAGGAAGAAGGGGAAGAGAAAAUGGGAAGGAAGGAGGGAGAGAGAAAGGAGAGAAGGAGAAGGAACGAAUGGAAAUGGGAGAGAUGGAAGGAAAAA
ensembl:lncRNA LINC02202 long intergenic non-protein coding RNA 2202